AAAAACUCAACAUAUAGCUAAUUCUAUACAAUAAAAAAAUUGAUUCGUUAUUUCUGUAAUCUGAUCAUGUGCAAAAAAUCAUUAGGUUUGGACUUGCAUUAAAAUUGUUCAUUGCCAUAAUCUUAGAUUACAAUGUCAUUAAAAUACAAUUAUUGAACUUAGAUAAUGAAAUAAAUAUUACACCAUAAGGCCGUAGCUAACACAAACACAAACACUAAGUGACAGAAAAACUGUUGUUGUGAAAUUAGCUACUCUCUUGAAUAUGGUAAUAAAUGCAGAAUUAAGAAGGUAUAAAAUUCUUGUCCUUUACACAAUUACACCAACCACCGACACACUUCGCUAUCUUAGGUUCUCGACACCUAUUUUUAUGACAUUCAUAAUCUCUAAAACAUCGUCUACUAGGAUACCACGCUGUAAGGAGAAAAGAUGAUAAAUUAGUAUAAAUUAUAUUAAAUAAUGUAUACAAAAUAAAAUAAAUAAUAAGAAAACUUGAAAUGGAUAAAAAUGGCUAACAUUCAACGUUUGUUGCAGCAAGAAAUAGAGAAAGAAAGUUAAUUAUGACAUAAACAAACUUAACAAUUUUAGCCAUAUUUGUCUCCUUUUCAUGUAAUAAAUGAUUUUAUCACUUUAUAAAUUAUAAAUUCAUAUGAAAGUGUAAAAAACACAUCUUAAAAUUAUAAUUAUAUUUAAAUGUUUUAUUAAUGUUUUGAGGUUGUCUCUUUAACACACUUAAUAAAAAGGUCAAAUUAAAAAC
rnacentral:lncRNA from 1 species